AUACGUAGGUGGCGAGCGUUAUCCGGAUUUACUGGGUGUAAAGGGCGUGUAGGCGGGUGUUCAAGUCGGAUGUGAAAAGGCAAGGCUCAACUUUGCUCUGUCAUCCGAAACUGGAUAUCUUGAGUGUCUGAGGGGAAAGCGGAAUUCCUGGUGGAGCGGUAAAAUGCGUAGAGAUCAGGAGGAACACCGGCGGCGAAGGCGGCUUUCUGGCAGACAACUGACGCUGAGGCGCGAAAGCGUGGGGAGCAAACAGGAUUAGAUACCCUGUUAGUCCACGCCGUAAACGAUGAAUACUAGGUGUAGGGGGUAUCGACUCCCUCUGUGCCGCAGCUAACGCAUUAAGUAUUCCACCUGGGGAGUACGUUCGCAAGAAUGAAACUCAAAUGAAUUGACGGGG
rnacentral:rRNA from 1 species